rnacentral:rRNA from 1 species
AUGAAACUUGUCGGAUGGAACUACCGGGGACUCAGAAAUGGCCUGGCGGUUCGUAGCCUGCUCGAUAUGGGGAGGGUGGAGGAUCCUGAUGUUCUAUUCCUGGUGGAGACAAAGUUGACAGAGAAGGAGUUGGAAAGGUUCUGUUGGAUGCUAGGGCUUGCUCAUAUGAUAGCUUGGAAUCUAGAGGGAUGGAGUAGAGGAGUAGCUAUAUUC